UACGUAGGGCGCAAGCGUUAUCCGGAAUUAUUGGGCGUAAAGAGCUCGUAGGUGGUUUGUCGCGUUGUCCGUGAAAACUCACAGCUCAACUGUGGGCGUGCGGGCGAUACGGGCAGACUGGAGUACUGCAGGGGGAGACUGGAAUUCCUGGUGUAGCGGUGGAAUGCGCAGAUAUCAGGAGGAACACCGGUGGCGAAGGCGGGUCUCUGGGCAGUAACUGACGCUGAGGAGCGAAAGCGUGGGGAGCGAACAGG
rnacentral:rRNA from 1 species